rnacentral:rRNA from 1 species
AGAGUUUGAUCCUGGCUCAGGAUGAACGCUAGCGGCAGGCUUAAUACAUGCAAGUCGUGGGGCAGCGCAGUGUAGCAAUACAUGGGCGGCGACCGGCAAACGGGUGCGGAACACGUACACAACCUUCCUUUUAGUGGAGAAUAGCCCGGGGAAACCCGGAUUAAUACUCCGUAACAUUUCGGUGUGGCAUCACACUGAAA